rnacentral:rRNA from 1 species
GAUGAACGCUGGCGGCGUGCCUAAUACAUGCAAGUCGAGCGAACAGACCAGUAGUUUGCUCCUCUGACUUUAUCGCCGGACGGGUGAGUAACAUUUGGAUAACCUACCUCUAAGACUGUGAUAGCUUCGGGAAACCGGAGCUAAUACCGGAUAAUAUAUUGAACAGCAUUGUUCACUAGUUAAAUACGGUUUUGCUGUCACUUAUAGCUUGAUCCGCGCCCCAUUAGCUAGUUGGUAAGGUAACGGCUUACCAAGGCAACGAUGCGUAGCCGACCUGAGCGGGUGAAUGGACAGACGGGAAGUGAGACACGGUACAGACACCUACGGGGGGAAGCAGUAGAGAAUCUUACGGAAAGGACGAGAGGGUGACGGAGCAAAACGGCGUGAGUGAUGAAGGACUUAGGAUCGGAAAGCGAUGUAAUUAGGAAAGAAGAAAUGUGUAAGUAGCUAGGAACGUAAUGACGGUACCAAAACAGAAAGCCACGGCUAACUACGUG